rfam:Phycisphaerae bacterium SM23_33 WORSMTZ_46993, whole genome shotgun sequence.
CAGCAGGUGGGAGUCCUGCCCCGGCAAAGGUCGUCCCGGCUGGGCAGCUUUCCCAGCAGCAACGAAGUGGCUGAAGCCCAGUAGACAGAAGGCGGCGUCCGGGCGUCAGCAAGUUGGCAGGCCGUAACACGC